rnacentral:rRNA from 1 species
CCGGACCCGACUGCUAUUUGGGUGAGGAUAAGCCAUGCGAGUUGAAUGGGAAACCUAAAAAUCCCAUGGCAAACUGCUCAGUAACACAUGAUCAACUUACCCUAUAGAGGAAAAUAACCUCGGGAAACUGAGGAUAAUGUUCCAUAGUUGAAUCGGCUUGGAAAAGUUUUUCAAUAAAAGGGAUAAGGAAAAUGGCCCUUAUCUGCUAUAGGAUAGGAUCGUGCUCGAUUAUGGUUGUUGGUGAGGUAAAGGCUCACCAAGCCGAUAAUCGAUAGGGGCCGUGAGAGCGGGAGCCCCGAGAUGGGUACUGAGACAACGACCCAGGCCUUACGAGGCGCAGCAGGCGCGAAACCUCCGCAAUACACGAAAGUGUGACGGGGUUACCCAAAGUGUUCAUUAGAACUGUGGUAGGUGAGUAAUGUUCCCUACUAGAAGGGAGAGGGCAAGGCUGGUGCCAGCCGCCGCGGUAAAACCAGCUCUUCAAGUGGUCGGGAUAAUUAUUGGGCUUAAAGUGUCCGUAGCCGGUUUAGUAAGUUCCUGGUAAAAUCGGGUAGCUUAACUAUCUAUAUGCUAGGAAUACUGCUAUACUAGAGGGCGGGAGAGGUCUGAGGUACUACAGGGGUAGGGGUGAAAUCUUAUAAUCCUUGUAGGACCACCAGUGGCGAAGGCGUCAGACUGGAACGCGCCUGACGGUGAGGGACGAAAGCCAGGGGAGCGAACCGGAUUAGAUACCCGGGUAGUCCUGGCCGUAAACGAUGCAUACUAGGUGAUGGCACGGCCAUGAGCCGUGUCAGUGCCGUAGGGAAACCGUUAAGUGUGCCGCCUGGGAAGUACGGUCGCAAGGCUAAAACUUAAAGGAAUUGGCGGGGGAGCAC